AGCGAACGCUGGCGGCAGGCCUAACACAUGCAAGUCGAACGGAUCCUUCGGGAUUAGUGGCGGACGGGUGAGUAACACGUGGGAACGUAUCCUUUGGUUCGGAAUAACGUCUGGAAACGGACGCUAAUACCGGAUGAGCCCUUAGGGGGAGAGAUUUAUCGCCGAAGGAGCAGCCCGCGUCUGAUUAGGUAGUUGGUGGGGUAAAGGCCUACCAAGCCGACGAUCAGUAGCUGGUCUGAGAGGAUGAUCAGCCACACUGGGACUGAGACACGGCCCAGACUCCUACGGGAGGCAGCAGUGGGGAAUAUUGGACAAUGGGCGCAAGCCUGAUCCAGCCAUGCCGCGUGAGUGACGAAGGCCUUCGGGUUGUAAAGCUCUUUCGCACACGACGAUGAUGACGGUAGUGUGAGAAGAAGCCCCGGCUAACUUCGUGCCAGCCGCCGCGGUAAAAC
rnacentral:rRNA from 1 species